GAUUGAAGGAGCUUGCUCCUGAUUGAUAAACAUUUGAGUGAGUGGCGGACGGGUGAGUAACACGUGGGUAACCUGCCCUAAAGUGGGGGAUAACAUUUGGAAACAGAUGCUAAUACCGCAUAAAACCUAACACCGCAUGGUGUAGGGUUGAAAGAUGGUUUCGGCUAUCACUUUAGGAUGGACCCGCGGUGCAUUAGUUAGUUGGUGAGGUAAAGGCUCACCAAGACCGUGAUGCAUAGCCGACCUGAGAGGGUAAUCGGCCACACUGGGACUGAGACACGGCCCAGACUCCUACGGGAGGCAGCAGUAGGGAAUCUUCCACAAUGGACGAAAGUCUGAUGGAGCAACGCCGCGUGAGUGAAGAAGGUUUUCGGAUCGUAAAACUCUGUUGUUGGAGAAGAAUGUAUCUGAUAGUAACUGAUCAGGUAGUGACGGUAUCCAACCAGAAAGCCACGGCUAACUACGUGCCAGCAGCCGCGGUAAUACGUAGGUGGCAAGCGUUGUCCGGAUUUAUUGGGCGUAAAGCGAGCGCAGGCGGUUUCUUAAGUCUGAUGUGAAAGCCUUCGGCUCAACCGAAGAAGUGCAUCGGAAACUGGGAAACUUGAGUGCAGAAGAGGACAGUGGAACUCCAUGUGUAGCGGUGAAAUGCGUAGAUAUAUGGAAGAACACCAGUGGCGAAGGCGGCUGUCUGGUCUGUAACUGACGCUGAGGCUCGAAAGCAUGGGUAGCAAACAGGAUUAGAUACCCUGGUAGUCCAUGCCGUAAACGAUGAGUGCUAGGUGUUGGAGGGUUUCCGCCCUUCAGUGCCGCAGCUAACGCAUUAAGCACUCCGCCUGGGGAGUACGACCGCAAGGUUGAAACUCAAAGGAAUUGACGGGGGCCCGCACAAGCGGUGGAGCAUGUGGUUUAAUUCGAAGCAACGCGAAGAACCUUACCAGGUCUUGACAUCCUUUGACCACUCUAGAGAUAGAGCUUUCCCUUCGGGGACAAAGUGACAGGUGGUGCAUGGUUGUCGUCAGCUCGUGUCGUGAGAUGUUGGGUUAAGUCCCGCAACGAGCGCAACCCUUAUUACUAGUUGCCAGCAUUAAGUUGGGCACUCUAGUGAGACUGCCGGUGACAAACCGGAGGAAGGUGGGGACGACGUCAAAUCAUCAUGCCCCUUAUGACCUGGGCUACACACGUGCUACAAUGGAUGGUACAACGAGUUGCGAGACCGCGAGGUUUAGCUAAUCUCUUAAAACCAUUCUCAGUUCGGAUUGUAGGCUGCAACUCGCCUACAUGAAGCCGGAAUCGCUAGUAAUCGCGGAUCAGCAUGCCGCGGUGAAUACGUUCCCGGGCCUUGUACACACCGCCCGUCACACCAUGAGAGUUUGUAACAC
rnacentral:rRNA from 2 species